rnacentral:rRNA from 1 species
AACGAACGCUGGCGGCAGGCCUAACACAUGCAAGUCGAGCGAGGACUUCGGUCCUAGCGGCGGACGGGUGAGUAACGCGUGGGAACGUGCCCUUUGCUUCGGAAUAGCCCUGGGAAACUGGGAGUAAUACCGGAUGAGCCCUUUGGGGGAAAGAUUUAUCGGCGAAGGAUCGGCCCGCGUUGGAUUAGGUAGUUGGUGGGGUAAUGGCCUACCAAGCCGACGAUCCAUAGCUGGUUUGAGAGGAUGAUCAGCCACACUGGGACUGAGACACGGCCCAGACUCCUACGGGAGGCAGCAGUGGGGAAUCUUAGACAAUGGGGGAAACCCUGAUCUAGCCAUGCCGCGUGAGCGAUGAAGGCCUUAGGGUUGUAAAGCUCUUUCAGCUGGGAAGAUAAUGACGGUACCAGCAGAAGAAGCCCCGGCUAACUCCUG